AAGCAUGGCUUCGCAGCUGACAUCUUGGGAGGUCACUCCCUUUUUGGCUGCGAGGAAAGUCCCCGUGCCGUGGAGCAGAGAGUGCAAGUGGGAGACCGCAGGGUCGACCU
rnacentral:RNase_MRP_RNA from 15 species